GUGAGUAGAUUUGCUACAUCAUUCAGCGCUCUUUCACAAUUUUUAGAAGCAACAAAACAACUUGAGGAAGAUGGUGUUGCUGUUAGGGUUGAUGUUGUGUUAAGUUUUAAAUUUGUAAAUCCUAGUGAUCUGCAAGUAACUAAAGUGCCAUAUAAUACUUAUGGUGUCGAUCCACAGACAAAUGUUCUAAGACAUGAAAUUAGUAACAUGUUCUGAGACAAACAAGAUUUUUAUAUAGUUUGGUAUCA
rnacentral:lncRNA from 1 species